AGUGAACGCUGGCGGUAGGCCUAACACAUGCAAGUCGAACGGCAGCACAGUAAGAGCUUGCUCUUACGGGUGGCGAGUGGCGUACGGGUGAGGAAUAUAUCGGAAUCUACUUUUUCGUGGGGGAUAAUGUAGGGAAACUUACGCUAAUACCGCAUACGACCUACGGGUGAAAGCAGGGGAUCUUCGGACCUUGCGCGAUUGAAUGAGCCGAUGUCGGAUUAGCUAGUUGGCGGGGUAAAGGCCCACCAAGGCGACGAUCCGUAGCUGGUCUGAGAGGAUGAUCAGCCACACUGGAACGGAGACACGGUCCAGACUCCUACGGGAGGCGGCAGUGGGGAAUAUUGGACAAUGGGCGCAAGCCUGAUCCAGCCAUACCGCGUGGGUGAAGAAGGCCUUCGGGUUGUAAAGCCCUUUUGUUGGGAAAGAAAAGCAGCAGGUUAAUACCCCGCUGUUCUGACGGUACCCAAAGAAUAAGCACCGGCUAACUUCGUG
rnacentral:rRNA from 1 species